GACAGAUCAAGGAUUCACCUGCUUUAUUUUUAGAGAAAAACAUGAAAGCUGGAAUGACGUUUUAUUGGAAGUGAAGCACUUUCAUUGUCAGUAACAGGCAAAUGAGUAGUGGAGUGACAGAAGACAUGCCUAACUUUCAUGUUGGGAAUUAAUCUCUGAAGAAUAAUUCUUAUGAGGGACAGAAGUACUGAUUCUCUGCUGCAAGAGCUACAGAUCACUUCUAUAAGGUUGGUCCUGUCCCCCAUGGAACGAGAGCUGUUGUGGAAAAUAUUGUCAUUAAGUUGAAAACGUGAAGAAAUACCUUUUGGUCAUUUUGCCUUGAACUACCUAUGGAUUCCUGGAAGCUUUCCAGCGUGAAUGGUGAAGGCAGCAGUCUCCAGUAACUCUCAGUACAUUUCCAGACCUACAGGCAGGAGUCCAUCAAAGGCUGAGGUGAAGCUGUAACAUCCUGCCUGGAAAUGGGAGCCUUUCCACCAGAGUGAUGAUGGAUCAUCAGAGUCACUCUGUCAAAUGGAAAACUUAAUCUGCAAUAACUGAGGCUCAGGUAUGAUGCAGACCAUGGCUAUUCACCCAGCAAUGAUCUCCUCUGUAGAAGCUGUCAGCAGAGGUUCCUAUGGUCUGCUGAAACCUGGAGCUUCCCUUUUCGUUUGAGGAUAUGAACAUGGGCAUAAAAGUAAGUAAGAGUCAAAGAUGAAGCACAUUGAAGGGUGGAGAGCAGCGUAUGGUUGUGAAGGUGAA